rnacentral:tRNA from 1 species
UUUCUGUAUUUUAAUAAUGAAAUUAUUAUGUGAGUCUUCACUUUAGAAAC